UACGGAGGUUGCAAGCGUUAUCCGGAUUCACUGGGUUUAAAGGGCGCGUAGGCUGUGCUGUAAGUCAGGCGUGAAAUCCCCGGGCUCAACCUGGGAAUUGCGCAUGAUACUGCGGCGCUUGAAGACGGGAGAGGAUGGCGGAAUUCCCAGUGUAGAGGUGAAAUUCGUAGAUAUUGGGAAGAACACCGGUGGCGAAGGCGGCCAUCUGGCCCGUAAUUGACGCUGAGGCGCGAAAGCGUGGGGAGCAAACAGG
rnacentral:rRNA from 1 species